CUCAAUUAAAAGAAGCUUAGGGGAUGUCCGCUGUGGUCCCAGAACCUCUGCAUUGACUCUGUUAGCCCUCUGCAGAAACCUGCAAGGAAGAAUUUGUUUCCCGUUCCCGGGCCAAGCUGAAGAAAGGAUGUAGCUUCCCAUAUUUGUGACCCUGAAGAAGUUGCCUUUCCCAUGGCUCACUCCUGAAAGAAGUCACGGAAAAUUUCUCAAGGAGUUCAAAGCUGGAGUCUGGAUCCGCUCACAGCAGCUUUCAGAGCCCAGGGGUAGAGCUCAGGAAUCCUCCUUUCUGAGCCUGUGGCCCCCUGCUGCGCUGCCCUCUCCUUAACCUGAAAAGUCACUGCUCACCCGCCAUGUUUGUUCUUGACCCCAGACCCAGUGAAAGCCCCUGUUCUGGCCUCAGCUCAUAUGAAAAGGCACAGGUUACAAUAAUCAGGGAACAAUACGUGUAUCUUCAGGACAUGCCAAGCUUAACCACCGAAGAGAGCUUGGGAUUUGGAGUAUCUGGCAAGGACAGUCACAGUGCCUUCCUGUAUGUUGCUUUUGCUCAUGCAGGUUAAGCAGACAAGCCAGCACGUGACGAUUUAGCUAACUGUGCUGUGACGCGCUUCCUGCCACGCUCACCCUGCACUUCUGAGGCUCCCUGGAGGACUCCCUCAUGCCCUCCUGAUGCAGUGGACUACUUCAUGGCCGGUGGACACCUGCAGAGCUGAAAACCUUACCCUAGGGAGGCUGCUGUCUCUUCCCCCUGAGAGAACAGGGAAGGCUCUCACCUUAGAAGCACAGUCAUGGUAGUAGCUCUGGUUGUCUCUGUGGCCAGAGGGUAGUGAAGGGGGCACAGGUAGCAUUUGGGGAUGACCGGAAGAACACAGACCUGAGGUGGGGGUGAUGGUGGAGCAUCUGGGCUAUUGUGUGGGGCUGGAUGCUGGACAUGGACCCUUGGGCACAGGGUCUGUUAAGGAAUGGGAUGCAGGAAGCCCAGGGGGAACAUUCACCAAGGGCUCAGGUUUAGAUUUUUAUAUGAUAGCAAUAAAUAUGGGCACGGAGAUACAGGGAUAGGACUGAAAGGCUUUCUGUCCCUUAAAACUGGCAGCUCCUGGCUUUCAGUUCUUAUGAUGGGUCAAGCACAGCCACUGCUCACAACUAAGAGAAUAGUGUGGGGUUAAAAUUUAUAGAACCUACAGUGCUUAUAAUACACUGGAAAAAAUAUGCACAUACACCCAUACAAUAUAUAUAUUACAUAUUACAUACAAUAUAUAUGUCAUUAAAUUCUGUACUCUUACGUGGCUUGUAC